UACAGAGGGGGCAAGCGUUGUUCGGAAUUACUGGGCGUAAAGGGCGCGUAGGCGGCCUUCUAAGUCGAACGUGAAAUCCCCGGGCUCAACCCGGGAACUGCGUCCGAUACUGGAAGGCUUGAAUCCGGGAGAGGGAUGUGGAAUUCCAGGUGUAGCGGUGAAAUGCGUAGAUAUCUGGAGGAACACCGGUGGCGAAGGCGGCAUCCUGGACCAACACUGACACUGAUGAGCGAAAGCCAGGGGAGCAAACGGG
rnacentral:rRNA from 1 species